rnacentral:tRNA from 1 species
GGAGGGUCCGUGGCUCACUGGUAGAGCGUUGGCUUGGCAUGCAGAAGGUCCCCGGUUCAGUCCCUGGCAUUUCUA